GCAGGAGCUCAUUCCACUCCUGCUGCUAGGGCCACUUGGGCUGAGAGAGGAGGGUCCCAGCUUCCUGCCAACCUCCCCAGCAGGCGUCCAGGACACCCCGCCACCAGGCCUCUCCUCCACCCAGGAGUGUCCGCCCCACCCCGCCUCCUGGGCAGGUGGCACCAGAUGGCCCCAUCCUAGGUGAACCCAGGGGGUUCACUCCAGCCACCUCCUGGAGACCGAGUGCCACAGGCAGUCAUUCAGGUUCCACCCUGCGCCCAAGUGAGCCUGCAGCCUGGGCCUGUCCAUGCCCAGGACCCUCCUGCAGCAGCACUGCCCACCGGGUGGGUUCUGCCUCCUCACGAAGAGACCCAGGGACCAUGGAGCUCAGGGCGGCUGCAGCCCCACAGCCGGAGACUGGACUGAAUGCUCCCAGGGUGGUGGCCACAGGGUGCCCAGCAGAGGCAGUGGGGGUUUGGGCUGCCUCAGCCCCCAGCUGUGAGACAGGCUGGCCCCAGUCCAGUUCUUACCCCUGCACCACACUGCCUCUCGGGGUAGUCAGGGGUCCGUGUCCCACAGGUCACUCCUGAGCAUGCGUCCAAGGCUUGUCACCACCUGCCUGCAGCCACCCUGCACGGCCUUCCUAACAUUCGCCCUCCUCAGGACACCCUCUCGCAGAGCCUUGAAUUCACCACGUUCCCACCUGCUGUCCUUGUGCCUGUGGUUACCUUCAUGACGACAGCCCGGGCACCUUGAGACCCACCACUUCUGUGGGGCCUUCCUGACACUGCCCCAUCAGAAGUCCUCAGGAUCACUUACCCUCCCCGUAGCUCACUAGCACUUGAAGGGUGAAAAAUGUUGGGAACAUGUUAGUCUUCUCAAUUCAGACUCCCAUGCUGUGUGACUUUGGGUAAGGCAUUUAACCUCGUUGUACUACAUUGUCCACAUAGGUACUAUUUAUUGAGCACUUACUAUGUGCCAAUGACAAGGUACCUAGUACUUUAUGUGCAUGAUCAUAUUUACCCAGACACAGCGAUUACCUGUUUCCCAGCUACUUGGGGGACCGAGACAGGUGGAUCACACGUUUGAGGUCAGCCAGAGCAAUUUAGAUAGAUCCCGUCUCAAAAUAAAAAAUAAAAAGGGCUGGGUAUGGUACAGCCCCUUGAGUUCAGUCCCCAGUACCAGGAGAGAAAAAAUAAACAGAGAAAAACAGCUGCCACCAUUAUGGUCAUUUGCUCUUGUUUCUGUCUCCCACCCAGCCUAGCGACGAGCGGCACUGAAACUCCAUUACAGGUAGGUAUGGACUUGAGUGGGAGGGGCUGGGACAGGAAGGAGUUCCAGAGUCACCGCCCUGCACAUGCCCCAGAAUGCUCGGGGGCAGUCCUGUCCUGGCUGGGGCAGUACCGUCAGAGCCUAUUGCUGACAGACAGUG
rnacentral:lncRNA from 1 species